GGACAGGUGGCCGAGUGGUUGAAGGCACCACCCUGGAAAGGUGGCAUACCUGCAAGGGUAUCGAGGGUUCGAAUCCCUCCCUGUCCG
rnacentral:tRNA from 1 species